CAGAGGCGAACCAGGAUUAGUUGCUUGCCGGUAUUCACGUGGAUUAGCAAGCAGGUUAUGAUCUGAGAGAGUCUGGUGAUCUCCGCAUUUACUUUUCCUCGGAGGUUCCAUUUAUUUUAGUAGAACUGUGAAACUGUUUUAUUCUUAGACCGCAGUAGUAACUAGACGUCUUUAUUAUUAUUAUAUUUUUGUCGGAUUGGUUCGACUGGUUUUA